rnacentral:rRNA from 1 species
GACGUAGGGCGCGAGCGUUGUCCGGAUUUAUUGGGCGUAAAGAGCUCGUAGGCGGCUCAUCGCGUCAACUGUGAAAACCCGCAGCUCAACUGUUGGCUUGCGGUUGAUACGGGUGGGCUGGAGUUCGGUAGGGGAGACUGGAAUUCCUGGUGUAGCGGUGAAAUGCGCAGAUAUCAGGAGGAACACCGGUGGCGAAGGCGGGUCUCUGGGCCGAUACUGACGCUGAGGAGCGAAAGCGUGGGGAGCGAACAGG